UACCUUUAUAUAACUAUUCUUUACUUACUACAAUAAUAAAUAUGAUACAAUAAAACAACUGGUUUAUAGGUAGGAAAUACUAUCUGAAAAUCAAUAAGUGCUUUUUUUCAACCACAUGCCAGAUGAUACAUAAAAUGUACAAUGUUUAGGGUUCCAUGUUGAAAAUUAACAUAGUGUGGCAUUAAUAUGUAUUGGUUUAUUCUGAUUUGGUGUCCCUUGCUAUCUUGUUUCCCUGAGUAUCAUGCCAUAUUUCUCCUGUAAGAGUUUUAGCUUUAAAUUUUCCAACUUCAUAAUCUCCAGAAAUAUUUAUUUUAAAAUAUCAUUUUCUGAAGGGCCUAUUACACAACUCAAUCAUAUUUGCAAUUUACUGCACUGAAAAUUAGGUUGUCAUGAUUGUUUUAUAGGCUUCAUUUUGAAUAUUUAUUCAAAAAUAAAUAUUNNNNNNNNNNNNNNNNNNNNNNNGAAUCCAUCAUCUCAGGAAAAAGGCUUAUGAGAAAUGUCAAGUUGUUUAAUUCAUUUGAGAACAUGCACUUGUACCUCCUAGCUAGCUUUCACAUCUAGGGCCCUAUCUUUUCAAAGUUGUAAAGAUUUUUGUCAUUUUUGUGGACGUAGAAGACUGUGUAUAUUUUCUGUGUCUGGAGAUAUGGUCCCCAUAUUUGGAUACACUUAUGUGCAUGACUGGCUAUGCACUCAAAUAAGCAUGUAUAUAACUAUAUGCAUUAAAAAUCUAUUGGGAACAGCAAAAUUAGUCAUUUAUUUUAGUAUAUCCUCAAUAUUUUCUGUAAUUAUCUCACCAAUAAUUAUAUGGUUCUCAUUUAUAUUAACGAUUAUUCUCCUUACAGUACUUUCCUCUUUUUUCAUUCACAGAUGCUAAUGAUAAUAAUGGAUUAUCUUUUUUUUUUUUUUUUUUUUAGUGACUUGAAGACAAAAUUCUAUCGAGUAUUUGAACUGCACCAAAUCUAUGUGGCAAAAGUUUUCCCUGGUUGCACAGCUGGUAGAGAAUGUACCUGCCAAUGCAGGCAAGAGACA
rnacentral:lncRNA from 1 species